AAAAGCAUGUAAAGAAAUAAACUGAUGCCUGUUGGUUUAGGUAAAUAGCUGUUAACUAUUGUUUGCAGGAUCGAGGCCUGUCGGUUUU
rnacentral:tRNA from 1 species